rnacentral:rRNA from 1 species
GAGUUUGAUCAUGGCUCAGGACGAACGCUGGCGGCGUGCCUAACACAUGCAAGUCGAGCGAAGUGCUUUGAGUGGAACCCUUCGGGGUGAAACUUGAAGCACUUAGCGGCGGACGGGUGAGUAACGCGUGAGGAACCUACCUCCCACAAGGGGAUAGCCUCGGGAAACCGGGAUUAAUACCCUAUGAUACUUAGGUGUCGCAUGACGCCUAGGUUAAAGCGCUUUAGCGGUGGGAGAUGGCCUCACGUCCCAUUAGCUAGUUGGUGAGGUAACGGCUCACCAAGGCGACGAUGGGUAGCCGGCCUGAGAGGGUGACCGGCCACACUGGGACUGAGACACGGCCCAGACUCCUACGGGAGGCAGCAGUGGGGAAUAUUGCACAAUGGGCGAAAGCCUGAUGCAGCGACGCCGCGUGAGCGAAGAAGGCCUUCGGGUCGUAAAGCUCUGUCCUAUGGGACGAUAAUGACGGUACCAUAGGAGGAAGCCCCGGCUAACUACGUGCCAGCAGCCGCGGUA